CUCAAAUGUUUUGUGGGUCUUCGCUAGUGUCUAAUUAAAACAUAAUAUAAGGCAUCAGCUUAGCAUGAUAGGGUUGAGUGAACAGAACAGUUUUAAUUUUAUAUUUGAAAGUUUGCCUUGUAGUAUUUCUAAGAAUUUACAUCUCAGUGGAGUACGGUGUAGUAGAAUUCACAUUCAUUAUUACAAAACAGUUCUUCUUUUUGAAAUACUGUAGAUUUAUGUGUUUAUAAAAGUCUUCCUUAAUGAAAAAAUAGUCCAGAUGACACUAUUGGAGACUUGAAAAAAUUGAUAGCAGCUCAAACUGGAACUAAGUGGGAUAAAAUAGUUCUGAAAAAAUGGUACACGGUUUUUAAGGAUCAUAUUAAACUAGAAGACUAUGAAAUCCACGAUGGUAUGAAUCUGGAACUUUAUUAUCAGUGAAAUCCAAUUCAGUUGAAGUAAUUUUACAUCAACAUGAAAGAUCACCCAGGAACUGGAGUUUUCACACGUGUUUCAUGUUUAGAGCUAAAGAUAUGUCAAUGUGAAAUAAGAUUGACACUUCUGAAACUUAUCUAACUGUGUGAAUUUCCAGAGUCAAAGAUGUUACAAAAGAAUUGAAGAUUAGACAUAAACAAAAACUGAGUUCUUAAAGACAAUUUGUUGAAUUUUCUUAUUAAAUGCUCUUCCAUGUAAACCAUAUGUUUGAAUUGUUCCAUCACCCUUAUGUUUCUCUCUUUAACGGUUUUGAAACGGUAAGUUUUAGUAAUAUAGUAAAAAAAAAUUAGUAUUAUCUUUUGAUUUUGUUAGACGAAAACAGUCCAUGUCAAUUACGUUCAAGUGUUUCAUAUUACUACUUUACAAAUGUGCACAAUUUAACUGUAGUAUCAUCUUUUAAAGAUGUUUAAUUUCGUACAUUUAAAGAACCAUUAUGAAACCUAAGGAAGAAAAUCAUCAUUUCUAUGUAAAACAAUUCUUUACAUACAGUUUGCUGUAUUGAACAUGUUAACUUUAAUAGCAGAAAGUAAUUAUUAUGAUUUCAUGAACAUUUUGGAAAUAAAGUGUUGCUUUCGUUAACUCUGA